GAGGCAGCAGUGGGGAAUAUUGCACAAUGGGCGCAAGCCUGAUGCAGCCAUGCCGCGUGUGUGAAGAAGGCCUUCGGGUUGUAAAGCACUUUCAGUCGUGAGGAAGGUGGUAGUGUUAAUAGCACUAUCAUUUGACGUUAGCGACAGAAGAAGCACCGGCUAACUCCGUGCCAGCAGCCGCGGUAAUACGGAGGGUGCGAGCGUUAAUCGGAAUUACUGGGCGUAAAGCGCAUGCAGGUG
rnacentral:rRNA from 1 species